GAUGAACGCUAGCUACAGGCUUAACACAUGCAAGUCGAGGGGCAGCGGUAUCGAAAGCUUGCUUUCGGUAGCCGGCGACCGGCGCACGGGUGAGUAACGCGUAUCGAACCUGCCUCAUACUCGGGAAUAGCCUUGCGAAAGUAAGAUUAAUGCCCGGUGUUUUCAGAGUCCCGCAUGAGGCUUUGAACAAAGAUUUAUCGGUAUGAGAUGGCGAUGCGUCCCAUUAGCUUGUUGGCGGGGUAACGGCCCACCAAGGCAUCGAUGGGUAGGGGUUCUGAGAGGAAGGCCCCCCCCUUUGGAACUGAGACCCCGCCCAAACCCCUAGGGCGGGCCGCCGUGGGGAAUAUUGGCUAAGGGGCGGAACCCUAACCCAGCCAAGUAGCGGGAAGAAAGCCGGCCCCCCGGGUUGUAAACUUUUUUUAGUUGGGAAUAAAACGGGGCUCGUGGCCCCCCUUGCAUGUACCAACAAAAAAAGGACCGGCUAAUUCCGG
rnacentral:rRNA from 1 species